rnacentral:lncRNA from 1 species
UGCCACUGCCGGAUUUGAUUUGAGGGAUAGUCAUGGCAAAUUUAGGGAGAUGCUUUUUUCUGCUACAAGUGUUUAGGGAGAAUCUAAGCUUUAGGAGUGGAAACGAAUUUCUUUUUUCUGUAGGAAGAGAAUAGAGAUGGAAAAUUCCUCUGCAUACUUGUUUGACAGUUCCUUCUCCAAUUGUCUGGUGAACAACAAAAUUGGAAGGAGAUGCUGAUGAUGACCAGAUAAAAAUUGUUUACAGACGUUUGGCCAAAUUUUAUCAUCCAGAUUGAAGCUGGUUGUUGAAUCCUUGCCCAGAAAAUCACAAUUUGAUUUUACCCCAAAUCCUAACCCUAACUUUUACAUAUUCCACGUCACAUUUAAUUAAUUUUUUAAAAACACAUAACAAUGCCACAUCAUCAAAUAUUAGCCACAUGGUAGCUUUGCCGUUAGUUUUUUAACGCCGUUACCAAAAAGGACCUAUUUGCACAGUUUUUACAAAAGCUAGGACUUAAGUGAACUUUUUAAAAAAGAGAGGACCACUUUGAACAAACCCUCCCAAAAGAGGGACCAAAAUAGGUAUUAAACCUUCUUUUUACUCUUUAUUUUGUGUCCUUUCUCCAACAUGUGUGGUUUCUCUCAUUUCUCUUUCAGAAACCAUUAUCUUUUUUGGCAAGGCAACCUGAGACUCAAGUGAAACAAUGAAAAACUUUGGUGACAAGGUAUUCCCUUUCCUCUUCGCAUUUUCCUUUUUCCCUUUCCUCUUUCUCCUUUCCCCUUUUCCAUUUCCCCUUUACCAUUUUCAAUGUACCCUUUCUCCUUUAUAGUCUAUUUCC